GCGGGCGUAGCUCAGUUGGUAGAGCAUAACCUUGCCAAGGUUGGGGUCGUGAGUUCGAAUCUCAUCGCCCGCUCCA
rnacentral:tRNA from 1 species